rnacentral:hammerhead_ribozyme from 1 species
GCUGAUGAGUCCCAAAUAGGACGAUACGUGCGUCC